AUGGCUGUUGCUGANCCUUUNNGGUUGUGCACGCUUGAGCUCUCUCUCACACAUCCACCUCACCCUUUGUGCAUUACCGCGUGGGUCCCCCUUGUAGGGGGGCUUGCGUUUUUCACAUAAAACUAGAUACAGUAUAGAAUGUCUUUUAUUUUUGCAGUUACAUGCAAUCAAUAUAACUUUCAACAACGGAUCUCUUGGCUCUCGCAUCGAUGAAGAACGCAGCGAAAUGCGAUACGUAAUGUGAAUUGCAGAAUUCAGUGAAUCAUCGAAUCUUUGAACGCACCUUGCGCCCCUUGGCAUUCCGAGGGGCACACCCGUUUGAGUGUCGUGAAAUCCUCAAAACCUUGUUCCUUGAUUGGGGAAAGGGUUUUGGACUUGGAGGAUUAAUGCUUGCUCUUACUUUUGAAGGCAAGCUCCUCUCAAAUAAAUUAGUGAGGUUUGCUUUGCUGAUCCUUGACGGUGAUAAGACAUCUCUACGUUUUGGAUUUGGUAACUGUCCCUUGCUUCUAACUGUCCUAUGGACAAUGAUGGGUGUAUCGGUUACCACCUUAUAUCGGUGGGAGGCUGGACCCACAAAAAGGACCUUGACCUCAAAUCGGGUGAGACUACCCGCUGAACUUAAGCAUAUCAAUA
rnacentral:rRNA from 1 species